rnacentral:rRNA from 1 species
UACGGAGGACGCAAGCGUUAUCCGGAAUGAUUGGGCGUAAAGCGUCCGCAGGUGGCAAUGUAAGUCUGCUGUUAAAGAGUCUAGCUCAACUAGAUAAAAGCAGUGGAAACUACAUAGCUAGAGUACGUUCGGGGCAGAGGGAAUUCCUGGUGUAGCGGUGAAAUGCGUAGAGAUCAGGAAGAACACCAGUGGCGAAGGCGCUCUGCUAGGCCGUAACUGACACUGAGGGACGAAAGCUAGGGGAGCGAAUGGG